rnacentral:snRNA from 1 species
GUGCUCACUUCAGCAGCACAUACACUAAAAUUGGAGCAAGAUAGAGAUUAGCAUGGCCCCUGUAGAAGGAUGAUGUGCAAAUGUGUGAAGCAUUCCAUAUAAAA